GUUGCUCAUAUCCAUUCCAAUUAGGUGAUUCCCAAGCCUUACCUAGGCGGUGGGGUCGGAGCGAGACGUUGCGGAACAUAAGACCGCUGAGCCAAAAGCGGCAUCGUCUCUAGCCUGUUGGACCAAUGCAUGGUGCGAUGCAAAGGUGUGGACGGAAGACCAGGUGGCCACGCAGCAGAUUUCCUGCAUGGGAACAUGAGCCAAAAACGCGGCAGAUGAGGCUUGAGCCCGAGUAGAAUGGGCGGUAAGAUGGCCAGU